GACGAACGCUGGCGGCGUGCUUAGCACAUGCAAGUCGAACGGUGAAGCUCCAGCUUGCUGGAGUGGAUCAGUGGCGAACGGGUGAGUAACACGUGAGCAACCUGCCCCUGACUCUGGAAUAAGCGCUGGAAACGGCGUCUAAUACUGGAUACGAGAAGGGUCCGCAUGGGCACUUUCUGGAAAGUUUUUCGGUUGGGGAUGGGCUCGCGGCCUAUCAGCUUGUUGGUGAGGUAAUGGCUCACCAAGGCGACGACGGGUAGCCGGCCUGAGAGGGCGACCGGCCACACUGGGACUGAGACACGGCCCAGACUCCUACGGGAGGCAGCAGUGGGGAAUAUUGCACAAUGGGCGAAAGCCUGAUGCAGCGACGCCGCGUGAGGGAUGACGGCCUUCGGGUUGUAAACCUCUUUCAGCAGGGAAGAAGCGAAAGUGACGGUACCUGCAGAAGAAGCACCGGCUAACUACGUG
rnacentral:rRNA from 1 species